rnacentral:rRNA from 1 species
CCAGCUCCAAUAGCGUAUAUUAAAGUUGUUGCAGUUAAAAAGCUCGUAGUUGAAUUUCUGGCUAGCUGUAGGCUGCGGCACACGCCCGGUUUACGGUUUAGUCAUCCGUAAGGGAAGCUAGUUCGGCCUUCACUGGUCGGCUAGGGGAACUUACAAUUUACUGUGAGAAAAUUAGAGUGUUUAAGGCAGGCAAUCGCUUGGAUACUCCAGCACGGAAUAAUGGAAUAGGACUUUAGUCGAUUUGUUGGUUUGAGGCUAAAGUAAUGAUUAAUAGGGACAGUUGGGGGCAUUCGUAUUUAAUUGUCAGAGGUGAAAUUCUUGGAUUUAUUAAAGACGAACUUAUGCGAAAGCAUUUGCCAAGGAUGUUUUCA